UACGGGGGGGGGGCAAGCGUUGUUCGGAAUUACUGGGCGUAAAGCGCGCGUAGGCGGCUUUUGUAAGUUAGAGGUGAAAGCCCCGGAGCUCAACUCCGGAACUGCCUUUAAAAACUGCAUCGCUUGAAUCCAGGAGAGGUGAGUGGAAUUCCGAGUGUAGAGGUGAAAUUCGUAGAUAUUCGGAAGAACACCAGUGGCGAAGGCGGCUCACUGGACUGGUAUUGACGCUGAGGUGCGAAAGCGUGGGGAGCAAACAGG
rnacentral:rRNA from 1 species